CCUGUUUUCCGUGUCCAACGUAUGAUCGUCUGUCUUAUUUAAAAAAAUUAUAAAAAAUAUUAAAAAGACAAGUCACGUAUAAAAUAUUAAUCAUGUUUUAUCAUCUAACAACAAUGAAAAUACGAAUUAUAAAAAAAAAUUAUAUAAGACAGACAAUCAAAGUUGAACAUAGAAAUCCAGAGUUUGCCUUUUU
rfam:Oryza sativa Japonica Group DNA, chromosome 3, cultivar: Nipponbare, complete sequence.